rnacentral:lncRNA from 1 species
UUGUAUGUAAUUAAAUAUCAUCAACCUCAAACAUAACCCAUCUAGAAUAUCCUCUCAAAUUUGUGUUCAAUGCUUUCAAUCUAAAAAACUCAACAUGUCUUCAUUGGAAAUGACUUCUAUUAGUGCUACCAAGCUUAGAUAUCAAAUGCUGAGACCUGAAACUGGAUCUGAUGAUGAAAGAGAAAGGAUGAUUCUAAGAUCAAAGGGCUGGUCCAGGUUUAGAAGGAUUCCAAUAAGAAAAAGGUUCGGGGUAUUCAAAGUCUCAAGCUGGAGAAUACUAUGGAAGCAAAAAAUGAGGCUUUUCUAUGCUAAGGUGAUAAAAAGAUUCAAGGUGUUCACACAAGUCAAUCCAAAACCAUUGAAGUGCCUAGAAAAAGAACUCCCUCUUUCAAAAAUUGUUUGAUGUUUACUUUAGAGGCUCCAAAUUCAUAUCUUGAGAUAAAUGUUUGGUUGUUGUUAUUUGUUUAUUUUAGAGACUUGGUCAAGGUUUUUAAUCUUAGUGUGCAAAUAUAUCAAGGUUUUAGGAGUUGUCGAAACUGUGUCGCGACCACAAUUAUGACUGUAUUAACUGUACUUAUCUAAAAUGUCAAGAUUUUUGAAGUUUCUGAUAUCACUUCCCAAACCAUAUUUGAAACCUUGGUAUUAGUUGGAUAUGAACUUAUAGUAUAAUUGGUUCUACAAUGUAGCCAAGUCUUGUUUUCUCUUGAUUUUCCUUGUCUACUUGUAAGUUUUGCUAUAUCCUUGCUAGAAUCUAAUAAUUUACUUUUGAGAUAAGGAAUAAGCUCAGAUUAACGUGAAUAUAUAAUUUGUACAAAUUAUUUAACUUUUGAUGAUGAGAAGAGAAAAGUUAACAUUGUUUUUUAUAAAAGUAUAAAUAUUUCUUUUGUCCUUUGUUGUUACUUUUAUCAAUGCAUGAGAUCUUAUCCUUUUAAUAUAUUUUAUUAUCUUAAAGGUAAGGUUGUAACAGAAGUAAACAAUGAAAUAUAAUAUUAGACAAUAAAGACAAUCAAGCCAAAAUAAUGGAGAAUUCACCAAGUAAUCAACCACAUCAACAUGACAGAACCAGGACAAAAGCAGAGUAGGAAGCACCUAGUCAAGCCAACCUAGUCAAGCCAACUACACCAAGAACAGAGGACACGCAUUAAUCUGCCCAAGCCAAAGCCAAGCCAGGCCAGGCCAGGGUCAGACUACAUCAGCACACAGGCCACAAGCAGACCAAGGCCAACCCAAUCAAGUUAGCACGCUGGGCCAACCUACAUCAGCACAGGCCACGGCUAUACCAAGGUCAACUACAAGCCACACAGGCCACAACAACAUAGGGCACGAGCAGACUAAGCCAUUCACAUCAGAACCAGGCCAACUCAGCCAGGCCACGAUCAAGAUCAGUCCAAACCAUACAUUGCAGCCCACGAUAGCUUGUGCAUCAAGCAACCGUUUUAAUCUUCUAUUUUACCACAUGUGUUUUUCAUGUUAG